CAAGCCAAAGACACCACCAGCAUUAAAUUAGACCAACAACCCCAUACCAAAAAGGAGGUUGGUUUAUUAAAUUUGAAAUUUGUUUCUAUGACCCAAAAAAAAACUUAUUUUCAAAAAGAUAACAAUAAUAAUAUGAACUAAGAUGAAUCAAUGAUGCCAAUAGUUAUCGAAUAUAAUCUAAUAAAGAUGAAUUCUGAAGAACAAGUUUUUUGUGUUGUUAUUGUCGUAUAGAACAAUUUUGGAAGAACUUCGAUUAUAUAGUAGUAAAGUAGUUUACACUUUCUUUGUCUAUAGGGUAACUUGGUGUGUGUUAUAUAGUAGUUAGUAGUAUAAAAGAUAACGACGAUAAAUCAAAGAGGAGGAACAAGCGAACAAGGUUCCCACGAGCUUUCAAUAUAGUAUUUAUGAGGUUUGUAAGGCAUGUUGGUGGGGUUGUGCCACUCCCAAUAUAAACAUUUGAAAUUUCGAAAUUAAUAUUUGGUGUGGCUCAACUUUCCAAAUAUUCUCCCUCCCUAUUUAUUUCGUUUUCUUUGUUAAGUUCCUAUCAUUUAUUUAAUACUAUUUCCUUAAAAAAAAAUGUAAAAAAGAUAGUAUGUUUCAUGUACCUAUGGAAACAAAAAAAAACCAAUAUGCAUCGUCUUCAAAAACUUAAAUAUUCGAUUUGCCGACUUAUACAUCUC
rnacentral:lncRNA from 1 species